UACAGAGGUCCCAAGCGUUGUUCGGAUUCACUGGGCGUAAAGGGUGCGUAGGCGGUCGGGUAAGUCUGAUGUGAAAUCUCACAGCUUAACUGUGAAACUGCAUUGGAUACUAUCCGGCUCGAGGAAUGGAGGGGAGACUGGAAUACUUGGUGUAGCAGUGAAAUGCGUAGAUAUCAAGUGGAACACCAGUGGCGAAGGCGGCGACCUGGACGGACACUGACGCUGAGACGCGAAAGCGUGGGGAGCAAACAGG
rnacentral:rRNA from 1 species